GGCCAGACCACCGCAUCGUUUUCGUUUUUGUUCACGGGAAAGACUUUGUCAUUGCCAUUUAUGUGAAUAAUGCCGACUCCAUAAAUCACACUAUGACAAUGCUUAUGGGUCGCCACAUGGCUCCAGGUCGAAGAACUCGACUUGAUUUUGAAAGUAUUGUGCAAUACCUAGGACUGAACCGAACAGACAUCAUCAACCCUAGAUGUGAUGAUUCCUGCAACAAAACUUAAUGCAUGGAAAAGUAUCAGAGUCUACACAGCACCUUGGAUCUGGGACUACUGCACUCGCCCAUUCACCUUGUAGAUACAAUGCCAGAUGUUGAUGGAAGGUAGACCCCAUAUCUACACCCCUCGAAUGCCUCAGAUUUCAGUAAAGUGGUAGAUAUUCCCUUC